GACACAGUCUGGACUGACACUACAGACAGGAACAUGUAGAAUAAAGCUGUUAAAGCUCCGGUCCAUCUCAACUCCAGAAGAUGUCUGACACCAGCAGCGUCCUCUCUGAGGACAGAAGACAUGUCAGCAGCAUCUGACUCUGUGUGAAAGCUCCUCAGGAUCCUCGCUGCUGUGGACUUUGCUGACAUGGCUCCAUCCCCUGAUCACUACGGUGCAGACUCUGGCUCCCGAUGUGCAAGAUGGCAGCGUUCGCCUCCGGGAUAUUUUGGCUUCAUUUCUGAACAGUGGAAAAAAGUAGAGACACAUCUUUAUAUGCACUCUAUGGAUUACGGUCUCCCAAGUCAUUUUCCAUUAACUUUUCAUAAUGCACUGUAUAUAACAGGCAAAACAUCCACGACAUGUCACUCCUUCACCCCUUAAACAAGAACAGGUGGAUUUAUCACUCAGGACAUUUUCACUUGUUUGAUAAAAAAAUGUUGAAAGGGACAUUUGUGCGUAUUUGCGUGUGUGUGUGUGUGUGUGUGUGUGUGUGUGCAUUUGAGCAAGUUCACAGGUAGUGUAUCCUCUCCAGGCCGGUUGGCAGUCAGGGCUACUGUAAACAUCCUUGACUGGAAGCUGGUGUUAGGUUCUGGGGCUUUCAGUCGGAUGUUUGCAGCAGCCAACUGCUAGUACCAUCGCUACAGUUCACCUGCUGUCGCCAAAUGUGUGGGAAGUCCACUGAAACACAACUGUAAGUGCAGACUGUUGAGUGAUGAGAAGGAUGACAGGAUGAGGAAAGUCACAUUUUUGUUGAUCAGUUAUGAUCACCAACAUCUUUUCAGUAAAAGACACACUUGUUUUACUUUGAAAGUCCACAGCUCAUGUUUUUUUUUUUAUUAAUUCAAUUCAACUUUAUUUGUAUAGCGCCAAAUAAUAAAAUACAUUAUCUCAAGGCACUUUACAUUGAAGGUCAAGACCUUACAUUUUUUAGAGAAACCCAACAGUUCCCACAAUGAGCAGCACUUUGGCGACUGGAGAGAAAAAACUCCCUCAUUAAGAGAGAGAUAAACCAAGUACAGCAUCACGUUUCAGCUCUCACAAGUUGUUUAAAUGAAAACAAUAAGAGUGAUAAAUAUGGAUGUAGAGAUGUUAUUAAUGAUAGCAGCAACAAACUGCAAGUGUAAGUGGAGUCAAUUUUUCUCUGCACUGCAGUUCUCUCUCUGCUAGCUCCCUAUGGCUUCUCCUUCAUAUCUUUCCUUGACUUAGUGACUUAGUGAGUUUUCCAUCGGGGUCAAGGAAUAGUGGUUAGGAAAGGAGAUUAUUUUCAACCAGAGACCAGGUGACUUUCAUUGCCCCAAUAACCAUCUCACUAACUGCGGCCUGAAUAAACUUUCCAAACACUUGCUGCAAGGCUGUUUGUAAAACUCUCUCUUAUCACAGAGAAUGUCUCAAUUCCUAUUAGACAUAAAUAUGUAGUAAUAGGGCCAGUUUCCCUUCACAAAAUAUAUGUGAAGGGAAAGGAGUGUGAGUCCACAGAGAAAUGGCUGCCCGUGAUAGCUGUCUCCAUUCAGUUCCCAGUGGAUGGGAGGGGCCUCAUCCGCUCCUGAGAGACCGAGGACCAGGGGGGUGCGAAGGAAUGGAGGGGGGCUAAUGAAUGGAAAGAGGAGCAGGAUGGGAAGAAGGGUAAAAAACGAGGGAAAAAAGGUGAUGGUAGCUGAAGAAAUGGAACGGAAGUUUGGUCUUGAUUUUUUUUUUUUCCUCCCCCUUCAUCAGUCAGUCGGAGUAGAGGGGAAGUGGGUGUAACGUGCACUACAGGGCCAGAGACGGGGAAGGAAGAAAGGAAGGAAGCAUUCUAAUAUUACCCCCUCCCACCCCCACAUUCAUCAUAUCCAUGAAUGAAAACACGCUGGGCUCCUUACAGUUUCUGUUCAAACAGUCUCAGCGUUCCUUCCUUGGUGCUGGUAAACCCAGGAAAUAGUUCAGUUCACAUAAAGCUCCUCCAUGUGGAAAGAUCCAGUCCAGCCCAGCAGCUUCUGGACGACGCGUCUGUUAUUUGUUUGUGCUGCAGUGUUUAUAUGAAACUAAAUCCCACGGUUAUUCAUUUGAAAAGGAAUAGUCCAGCAGUAACUAGUUUAAAGGGAUAGUUCACCCAAAAAUGAAAAUUCACUCGUUAUCUUCUCACCACUAUGCCGAUGGAGCGGUUGGUGAAGUGUUUGAGUCCACAAAACACUUUUUGAGUUCCAGGGGUUGCAGCCAAAUCUAAUACAAUUCAAGUAACUAGGGACUGAUUCUUCAAAUGUAAAUAAACAACAGGAAAAAAAAAUCCAUUGAGAUCAAACUCAGUUUUUCACGACAGGAUUAACAGUUGUCUAUCUCCAUCAAUUCUGAAAAACGAUUGUCCAGACUUCAUGUCAGCCCUUGACUAUGGAGAUAUUCUAUACUUGUCACGCAGCCCCAUCACACCUCCAGCAGUCAAACCCAGUGUAUCACAGUGAACUACGCUUACGAGAGACUCAGCACCCAUCACUGUCCUCUGUAUCACUGGGUUGGAUGAACUUCAUUACAAACGACAAGACACAGUCAUCUCAUGUUAUUCAUCUACAAAGCUCUGUUGUUAAAACUUCCAAAUGACCGGAGCUCUCUUCUCUCAUUUCAAACCAGUACAUACAGCACAAGACCCAGUAACUCCUGAACUUCAGACACCCCUCAUGUAUGCACCAACGUUGGCAGAACUGGAUUGAGUUACACCUUCUCAAUGGAAUGAUUUACAAACUUCCCUCAAACUGCAGUCUUGUGUUCCCCUCUGAGAUUUUAAAUCUCUACUAUUUGAUGUUUUUUAUGAAUCGUGUGACUGUUUUCAUUAAUUUAUUUGUAUUGUGUUGUUUUGUUGCUCGUGUUCAGUUGUUUGCUGCUGAUUGUGAAUGGGUCUUGUUCUCAGGCCUCUCUUGGAACAGAGAUCUUGAUCUCAAUGUGACUGCUUGAUUAAAUAUAGAUAAAUAAAUAAAUAAAACAGUAUCAAGUUGCCCUGUGACCUCUGAGUUCUAGGUAGUGUAAACAUCCUACACUCUCGGCGUCUGCCCCCUGGUGGCCGGGAGGGGGACUGUUUGCUCCACCUGGCUCAGAAGCUCGACGAGUAGCAGGGGAGGAAAGUUAAAAUAUAAAAAUAUAAAUAUAUUAUAUUCUCUUUAUUCAAAGUCCAGUGCAGAAUAUAACUUACAGCACAUAAACACAGGCUGGUGUGUGCCCUCAGUAUCACAUGCUUUUACUUUAAUUCUCUUUGGCAUUAAAGAGGACAUCAACUGUGGUACAAUGACCUCAUGUAACUUUGCUGUGCAGCCUGUUGGAAUAAAGAGUUAUUAGACUAAA